GACUGCGAUGAGAAUUGCGGUCGUAACUCUGAGACACGAUGCCGAGCGGGUUUCCGCGAAGUCACUAAUUCCAUGCUGUCGAGAAAAGCCCAGCAGUGAGUUUGUAUGGCGCCCGUACCCCAAACCGACGCAGGUGGGCGGGUAGAGAAUACCGAGGCGAUCGGGAGAACUAUGGUUAAGGAACUCGGCAAAAUGCCUCCGUAACUUCGGAAGAAGGAGGACCCACGUAGGGUGAAGAGACUUCGCGUCUCCAGCCUGAAUGGGUGGCACAGAGCAGGGGGUAGCGACUGUUUAACAAAAACACAGCAGCGUGCGAAGCCGCAAGGCGCUGUAUACGCUGUGACGCCUGCCCAAUGCUGGAAGGUCACGAGGAACGGUUAGCCGCAAGGCGAAGCUGUGAAUCUAAGCCCCAGUGAAUGGCGGCCGUAACUAUAACGGUCCUAAGGUAGCGAAAUUCCUUGUCGGGUAAGUUCCGACCUGCACGAAUGGCGUAACGACUUCCCCGCUGUCUCAACCAUAGACCCGGCGAAAUUGAAGUACGAGUAAAGAUGCUCGUUUGCUGCGGAAGGACGGAAAGACCCCGUGGACCUUUACUAUAACUUGAUGUUGAGCUUUGAAAUGGGCUGUGUAGGAUAGGUGGGAGACUGUGAAGCCGGUGCGCUAGCACUGGUGGAGUCAUUGGUGAAAUACCACCCUGCGUAUUUUGGAGCUCUAACUUUGGUCCGUAAUCCGGAUCAGGGACAGCGUCAGGCGGGUAGUUUGACUGGGGCGGUCGCCUCCUAAAUUGUAACGGAGGCGCUCAAAGGUUCCCUCAGACUGGUUGGUAAUCAGUCGUCGAGUGUAAUGACACAAGGGAGCUUGACUGCGAGACUGACAGGUCAAGCAGGUGCGAAAGCAGGACAUAGUGACCCGGCCAUUGCUUGUGGAAGCGUGGUCGCUCAACGGAUAAAAGGUACCCCGGGGAUAACAGGCUAAUCUUUCCCAAGAGUCCAUAUCGACGGAAAGGUUUGGCACCUCGAUGUCGGCUCAUCGCAUCCUGGGGCUGAAGCAGGUCCCAAGGGUUGGGCUGUUCGCCCAUUAAAGCGGUACGCGAGCUGGGUUCAGAACGUCGUGAGACAGUUCGGUCCCUAUCCUCCGCAGCCGGAAGUGAUUUGAGGAAGGCUGUCCCUAGUACGAGAGGACCGGGACGGACGGAGCUCUGGUGUGUCAGUUGUCCUGCCAAGGGCACGGCUGAUUAGCCACCUCCGGAAGGGAUAACCGCUGAAAGCAUCUAAGCGGGAAGCCCGUUCCAAGAUGAGAUCACUCAUGCAGUCAAUGCAGUAAGGCCCGUGGCGAGAUCACCACGUUGAUAGGCCGGAAGUGUACGCAUCGCAAGAUGUUCAGCUGACCGGUACUAAUCGGCCGAGGGCUUGGAUUG
rnacentral:rRNA from 1 species